UACGUAGGUGGCAAGCGUUGUCCGGAUUUACUGGGCGUAAAGAGCGCGCAGGCGGUCGUUCAAGUCGCGUGUGAAAGCCCCCGGCUCAACUGGGGAGGGUCACGCGAUACUGAUCGACUCGAAGGCAGGAGAGGGAAGUGGAAUUCCCGGUCUAGUGGUGAAAUGCGUAGAUAUCGGGAGGAACACCAGUGGCGAAGGCGACUUCCUGGCCUGUUCUUGACGCUGAGGCGCGAAAGCUAGGGGAGCAAACGGG
rnacentral:rRNA from 1 species